rnacentral:misc_RNA from 1 species
AAGGAUCAUUACAGUGAAAUGCUGUAGACUUGGUGUCUUGGAUAAAACCUUGAGGGUAGUUUAAAGCUAAACCCUCUGGGAAGCUGCUCCCUCAUGUGGCCCUCUGGGAAUCCAGCACCGCCUAACCUUGUUAACAUAAAUAUAACGUUACCUCGGCAGGUUUGCCUGCCGAUGGACACUAUAAAACUCUUUAAAUUAAGUUGCAUUUAGUGUACUAUCUGAUAAAUAUUUUAAUAAAAAAUUAAAACUUUCAACAACGGAUCUCUUGGUUCUG